AGUGAACGCCGGCGGUAGGCCUAACACAUGCAAGUAGAACGGCAGCACAGUAAGAGCUUGCUCUUACGGGUGGCGAGUGGCGGACGGGUGAGGAAUACAUCGGAAUCUACUUUUUCGUGGGGGAUAACGUAGGGAAACUUACGCUAAUACCGCAUACGACCUACGGGUGAAAGCAGGGGAUCUUCGGACCUUGCGCGAUUGAAUGAGCCGAUGUCGGAUUAGCUAGUUGGCGGGGUAAAGGCCCACCAAGGCGACGAUCCGUAGCUGGUCUGAGAGGAUGAUCAGCCACACUGGAACUGAGACACGGUCCAGACUCCUACGGGAGGCAGCAGUGGGGAAUAUUGGACAAUGGGCGCAAGCCUGAUCCAGCCAUACCGCGUGGGUGAAGAAGGCCUUCGGGUUGUAAAGCCCUUUUGUUGGGAAAGAAAAGCAGCAGGUUAAUACCCCGCUGUUCUGACGGUACCCAAAGAAUAAGCACCGGCUAACUUCGUG
rnacentral:rRNA from 1 species